GACGAACGCUGGCGGCGUGCUUAACACAUGCAAGUCGAGCGGUAAGGCCCUUUCGGGGUACGACGAGCGGCGAACGGGUGAGUAACACGUGGGUGACCUGCCUCAGCUCUGGGAUAAGCCCGGGAAACGUGGUCUAAUACCGGAUAUGACUUCAUGACGCAUGUUGUGGAGUGGAAAGCCUUGUGCGGCUGAGGAUGGGCCCGCGGCCUAUCAGCUUGUUGGUGGGGUGANGGCCUACCAAGGCGACGACGGUAGCCGGCCUGAGAGGCGACCGGCCACACUGGGACUGAGAUACGGCCCAGACUCCUACGGGAGGCGGCAGUGGGGAAUCUUGCGCAAUGGG
rnacentral:rRNA from 1 species